rnacentral:miRNA from 1 species
AAAAGAUGAUGAUGAUGAUGAUGAUGAUGAUGAUGGUGCUUGAAAUUGUGAUUGUUAUUGAAAAAUCAUCAUCAUCAUCAUUUUCGCCUAGAAAG